rnacentral:rRNA from 1 species
AUCGAACGCUGGCGGCGGGCUUAACACAUGCAAGUCGAACGGAAGGGCCCUGCUUUCUUGUGGUUUCCGCGGGGCAAAGGGGUGUUAAACCUGUGAAUAUCCCUCCUUGGGCUUGGUGAUAUCUUCAGAAAACCGGUGCUACUCCCGACUUGCUGCUCCUGCUGCUUGGGGGGGUUCGGAACUUUUCGGCGGUUGGGAAUGUACUGGCGGUUUACCAGCUUGUUGGUGGGGUGGUGGCUUACCAAGGCUUUGACGGGUAGCCGGCCUGAGUGGGUGACCGGCCACAUUGGGACUGAGAUAAGGCAGAGACGCCUAAGGGAGGCAGCAGUGGGGAAUAUUGAACAAUGGGCGGAAGCCUGAUGCAGCAACGCCGCGUGCGGGAUAACGGCCUUAGGGUUGUAAACCGCUUUCGCCUGUAAAGAAGCGUGAGUGAAGGUAAUGGGUAAAGAAGCACCGGCUAAAUACGUG